GAUCAUGGCUCAGAACGAACGCUGGGCGGCAGGCCUAACACAUGCAAGUCGAGCGAACCCUUCGGGGUUAGCGGCGGACGGGUUAGUAACGCGUGGGAAUAUACCCUUUGGUACGGAAUAGCCUCGGGAAACUGAGAGUAAUACCGUAUGUGCCCUUCGGGGGAAAGAUUUAUCGCCAAAGGAUUAGCCCGCGUUGGAUUAGAUAGUUGGUGGGGUAAUGGCCUACCAAGUCUACGAUCCAUAGCUGGUUUGAGAGGAUGAUCAGCAACACUGGGACUGAGACACGGCCCAGACUCCUACGGGAGGCAGCAGUGGGGAAUCUUAGACAAUGGGCGCAAGCCUGAUCUAGCCAUGCCGCGUGGACGACGAAGGCCUUAGGGUUGUAAAGUCCUUUCAGAUGGGAAGAUAAUGACGGUACCAUCAGAAGAAGCCCCGGCUAACUCCGUG
rnacentral:rRNA from 1 species